UAGGGAAUCUUCGGCAAUGGGGGGAACCCUGACCGAGCGACGCCGCGUGAGUGAAGAAGGUUUUCGGAUCGUAAAGCUCUGUUGUUAAGGAAGAACGAGUGUGAGAAUGGAAAGUUCAUGCUGUGACGGUACUUAACCAGAAAGGGACGGCUAACUACGUGCCAGCAGCCGCGGUAAUACGUAGGUCCCGAGCGUUGUCCGGAUUUAUUGGGCGUAAAGCGAGCGCAGGCGGUUAGAAAAGUCUGAAGUGAAAGGCAGUGGCUCAACCAUUGUAGGCUUUGGAAACUGUUUAACUUGAGUGAAGAAGGGGAGAGUGGAAUUCCAUGUGUAGCGGUGAAAUGCGUAGAUAUAUGGAGGAACGCCGGUGGCGAGAGCGGCUCUCUGGUCUGUAACUGACGCUGAGGCUCGAAAGCGUGGGGAGCGAACAGG
rnacentral:rRNA from 1 species